rnacentral:rRNA from 1 species
GAGCAACCUACCCUCAACUUUGGGAUAAGCCUCGGAAACGGGGUCUAAUACCGGAUAUGAUCUCCUGCUUCAUGGUGGGGGGUUGAAAGUUCUGGCGGUUGGGGAUGGGCUCGCGGCCUAUCAGCUUGUUGGUGGGGUAAUGGCCUACCAAGGCGUCGACGGGUAGCCGGCCUGAGAGGGCGACCGGCCACACUGGGACUGAGACACGGCCCAGACUCCUACGGGAGGCAGCAGUGGGGAAUAUUGCGCAAUGGACGAAAGUCUGACGCAGCAACGCCGCGUGAGGGAUGACGGCCUUCGGGUUGUAAACCUCUUUCAGCAGGGACGAAGCGAGAGUGACGGUACCUGCAGAAGAAGGACCGGCCAACUACGUGCCAGCAGCCGCGGUAAUACGUAGGGUCCGAGCGUUGUCCGGAAUUAUUGGGCGUAAAGGGCUCGUAGGCGGUUCGUCACGUCGGGAGUGAAAACUCGGAGCUUAACUCCGAGCCUGCUUCCGAUACGGGCAGACUAGAGGUAGGCAGGGGAGAGCGGAACUCCUGGUGUAGCGGUGGAAUGCGCAGAUAUCAGGAAGAACACCGGUGGCGAAGGCGGCUCUCUGGGCCUUACCUGACGCUGAGGAGCGAAAGCGUGGGUAGCGAACAGGAUUAGAUACCCUGGUAGUCCACGCCGUAAACGUUGGGCGCUAGGUGUG